rnacentral:rRNA from 1 species
UACGUAGGGUGCGAGCGUUGUCCGGAAUUAUUGGGCGUAAAGAGCUUGUAGGCGGUCUGUCGCGUCUGCUGUGAAAAUCCGGGGCUCAACUCCGGAUCUGCGGUGGGUACGGGCAGACUAGAGUGAUGUAGGGGAGACUGGAAUUCCUGGUGUAGCGGUGAAAUGCGCAGAUAUCAGGAGGAACACCGAUGGCGAAGGCAGGUCUCUGGGCAUUAACUGACGCUGAGGAGCGAAAGCAUGGGGAGCGAACAGG